rnacentral:lncRNA from 1 species
AAUGAGAAGAAGGAACUCCUAGUACGGCAGCUCUGGGUGCAGCAGCAGCUCCAAGUCCACGAAGCUGUGACUGCCCACUUCUCCAGGCAUCAUCACCCCAGGUGCACACAUUUCCACCUCUUUUGGGCAAACAUCAAGGAGUCUUAUUAUUGGAUUACUGGGCAAGAGAAUGAGCUUUUCCGGUCACCUAUUACAAUGAAGAAAAAUUGACUGAGGACCUCAGAUGCUGGACUCUGAUGUUUGUCACCAAGUUUACACUGAGACCACACUUCCCGCAGGCCGCCUCCUCAGUGACUGAGGACAGAUGGGAAACCAAGCCAGCCUUGUCCCCAUGAGCUGAAGGUCUCCUCUGAGAGGCAACAUGGGUUUGGAGACACUUUCCUCUCAGUCACCCUCCAAUGCCUUGCAAAGUGGACUCAUAACACCUUUCUUGCACGUGCCAUUUUGUCUCCGUGUCUGCUUCUUGAAGGAUGGGUGUUCUGUGCACAUGUGGCCAGAGGAAAAGAAUCAGAAUUGGGGAGCAUCUGCUAAUCUUGCCCAGCUCCCUUGCCUGUCUUCAUAGGAUUCUGAUGAGUAUAUAGCAUCUUAGUGUUCAGAUACGUUGGCAAGAUUAUAAGACAUUUAUUAUGCCCUCUCACAUACCUUUUUACAGUAAAUCUGUAGGGGAAGGCAUGCAAGUGGAAGGCAGCUGUAGAUAAAAAACAGUUCUAAUGUUAU